UGGGGAAUUUUGGACAAUGGGCGCAAGCCUGAUCCAGCCAUGCCGCGUGUGUGAAGAAGGUCUUCGGAUUGUAAAGCACUUUAAGUUGGGAGGAAGUGCAGUUACCUAAUACGUGAUUGUUUUGACGUUACCGACAGAAUAAGCACCGGCUAACUCUGUGCCAGCAGCCGCGGUAAUACAGAGGGUGCAAGCGUUAAUCGUAAUUACUGGGCGUAAAGCGCACGUAGGCGGUUAGUUAAGUUGGAUGUGAAAUCCCCGGGCCCAACCUGGGAACUGCAUUGAAAGCUGACUGACUAGAGUAUGGUAGAGGGUGGUGGAAUUUGCUGUGUAGCGGUGAAAUGAGUAGAUAUAAGAAGGAACAGUAGUGGAGACGGCGACCACCUGGACUGAUACUGACACUGAGGUGCGAAAGCGUGGGGAGCAAACA
rnacentral:rRNA from 1 species